rnacentral:rRNA from 1 species
UUUAAAGUCUAAUCUGCCCUAUGAGGUAUUAAAUGGCCGCGGUAUUUUGACCGUGCAAAGGUAGCAUAAUAAUUAGUUUUUUAAUUGAAAGCUGGAAUGAAUGAUUGAACGAGAAAAUAGCUGUCUCAAUUUUAUUUUAUUAGAAUUUUAUUUUUAAGUAAAAAAGCUUAAAUUUUAUUGAAAGACGAGAAGACCCUAUAGAGUUUUAUAUUUAGUUAAUUAUUAAUUUUUUAGAAUUAUUUUAUUGAUAAUUAGUUAAUUAUUUUGUUGGGGUGAUAGAAAAAUUAAAAUAACUUUUUUUAAUUAUUAUUACAUUAAUUUAUGAUUUUAUGAUCCAUUAUUUAUGAUUAGAAGAUUAAGUUACCUUAGGGAUAACAGCGUAAUUUUUUUUUAGAGUUCUUAUCGAAAAAAAAGAUUGCGACCUCGAUGUUGGAUUAAAAUUAAUAUUAGGUGUAGAAGCUUUAAUAUUAGGUCUGUUCGACCUUUAAAAUUUUACA